UUCGGGUGUUCUCUCUGUUGUUUUAUGCAAUCGAAGGGUAACAUUGUAGCUUGCUACAGAUGACGACCGGCGCACGGGUGCGUAACGCGUAUGAAACCUACCUAAUACAGAGGGAUAGCCCAGAGAAAUUUGGAUUAAUACCUCAUGGUACUGUGAUCUCGCAUGGGAUUAUAGUUAAAGAUUUAUCGGUAUUAGAUGGUCAUGCGUUCUAUUAGUUAGUUGGUAAGGUAACGGCUUACCAAGGCAGCGAUAGAUAGGGGCCCUGAGAGGGGGAUCCCCCACACUGGUACUGAGACACGGACCAGACUCCUACGGGAGGCAGCAGUGAGGAAUAUUGGACAAUGGAGGCAACUCUGAUCCAGCCAUGCCGCGUGAAGGAAGACUGCCCUAUGGGUUGUAAACUUCUUUUAUAGAGGAAGAAACGCAGAUACGUGUAUUUGUUUGACGGUACUCUACGAAUAAGGAUCGGCUAACUCCGUGCCAGCAGCCGCGGUAAUACGGAGGAUCCAAGCGUUAUCCGGAAUCAUUGGGUUUAAAGGGUCCGCAGGCGGUUGUUUAAGUCAGAGGUGAAAGUUUGCAGCUCAACUGUAAAAUUGCCUUUGAUACUGAAUGACUUGAGUUAUAAUGAAGUGGUUAGAAUAUGUAGUGUAGCGGUGAAAUGCAUAGAUAUUACA
rnacentral:rRNA from 1 species